rnacentral:rRNA from 1 species
AUUGAACGCUGGCGGCAUGCUUUACACAUGCAAGUCGAACGGCAGCGCGGGCUUCGGCCUGGCGGCGAGUGGCGAACGGGUGAGUAAUGCAUCGGAACGUGCCCAGUAGUGGGGGAUAGCCCGGCGAAAGCCGGAUUAAUACCGCAUACGACCUGAGGGUGAAAGCGGGGGUCCGAAAGGCCUCGCGCUAUUGGAGCGGCCGAUGUCGGAUUAGCUAGUUGGUGGGGUAAAGGCUUACCAAGGCGACGAUCCGUAGCUGGUCUGAGAGGACGACCAGCCACACUGGGACUGGGACACGGCCCAGACUCCUACGGGAGGCAGCAGUGGGGAAUUUUGGACAAUGGGGGCAACCCUGAUCCAGCCAGGCCGCGUGCGGGAAGAAGGCCUUCGGGUUGUAAACCGCUUUUGUUCGGGAAGAAAUCCUCUGGGCUAAUACCCCGGGGGGAUGACGGUACCGGAAGAAUAAGCACCGGCUAACUACGUG